AAUUUUUUGGACCAUCAGUGUAAUUAAUCUUUUUAAAUAAUGAAAAAAAGGGAUGCUGGUGCUGGGAAAAAAAAAGAAAUAGAAAAAAAAACAAAAUUAAGAUUCCAUUACGGGCUGUUCUUCAACUCCCGCCUCCCCCCUCUCUCUCUCUCUCUCUCUAAGCCCGCGCUCGGCUGCUAUUUCCCGCCGAUCUCUGCCCAGCACCGCCGUGGCACCCGCCCCGGAAGGUGGCGGCUCCUCGUACCAACUUAUUGGAGCCUGUAAUCUCUCUCCCCCCCACCCCCCCUUCUACCCGUUCUCUUCCUCUCUCUCGCUCGGGUCGGUCCUUCAACUCGAAUUUGGGGCUUCUCGAAUCUCGGGGCUUUUGAAUCUGUGUGCUAUUGGUGGUUGGAUCGUUGACGAUGAACCUUCGAGAGCUCCCGGAAGGGAUCUUAUGUGGAGUAAUCUGCAGCGAACGUGUCUGGAAAUGGCUAAAUUCAGGGAUCGGACAGAGGAUUUUAAAGAUGCAGUUUUGUCAUGCUGCUGUGUCUUUGGGUGACAAUGAGGUUUGAUUGCUGUUACUGUUUGCUUUGUUACUCAUCGAUGCUUAUUGUGUUUGUGAUACAUUUUACUAGGGGUUUGAUUAUGGAGUAUUAGGAUUAAUUGAAACUGGAUGUUAAAUGAGAUGGAAGUGAAUUAAGGUUGUUUUGUUCAAGCGA